GAUGAACGCUGGCGGCGUGCCUAAUACAUGCAAGUCGAGCGAACAGAUAAGGAGCUUGCUCCUUUGACGUUAGCGGCGGACGGGUGAGUAACACGUGGGUAACCUACCUAUAAGACUGGGAUAACUUCGGGAAACCGGAGCUAAUACCGGAUAAUAUUUCGAACCGCAUGGUUCGAUAGUGAAAGAUGGUUUUGCUAUCACUUAUAGAUGGACCCGCGCCGUAUUAGCUAGUUGGUAAGGUAACGGCUUACCAAGGCGACGAUCCGUAGCCGACCUGAGAGGGUGAUCGGCCACACUGGAACUGAGACACGGUCCAGACUCCUACGGGAGGCAGCAGUAGGGAAUCUUCCGCAAUGGGCGAAAGCCUGACGGAGCCACGCCGCGUGAGUGAUGAAGGUCUUCGGAUCGUAAAACUCUGUUAUUAGGGAAGAACAUACGUGUAAGUAACUGUGCACGUCUUGACGGUACCUAAUCAGAAAGCCACGGCUAACUACGUG
rnacentral:rRNA from 1 species